AAAUAUUACUCGUUUCACCUCAACACUUAGAAAAAAUCAAAAAACUCAUUGACCUAAUUUAUCUAAACGAAGAGCGAGCCCGUGUAUCUCUCUCUCUUUCUCGCAUCACGGUGAUCCCUCUGUCCGACGAGAAUUCAUGGAAUCGGAAGCAAACUGAGGAUUGUGGUAUCAUGUCGCCGUCCAUCACGUCAUAUCGCCGCCGCAAACAUCGGUAAAGGGUUUUGUUGAUUUACAGAGGAUGAAGAAGUACAGAGGCAGAUGCAGAGUUUGUCACUUCGAGGAAGAGAAGAAGAACAAAGCGACAAGGAGCAGAUUCUCUUUGUCUUCUCCCUACUCUCAUCUUCUUUUAGUGUUGUGUUGUGGUGGGGUGAACGAGUCUUGUGUUGUGGUGUGGUGUGGUGAACGAGUAUUAACUUAAGAUUAAUGUUAGUGCCUUAGAGGUUGUGUGUUGUGUUGUGUUGUGGUGUGGUGUUGUGAACGAGUCUUGUGUUGUGUUGUGUUGUGGUGAACGAGUUAGUUUUGCUAAUUGAGCUUCAUGGACAGGUAGCUUUGUAGUUGUCUAUUUGUCAGGAUUCACUUUAUAAAUAGAUCUAAGCUGUUUUCCUUGGUGAUCUGAGUUUUUUUUUGCAGACUGCUAACUAAAGUUCCAUAGACUUGAUGGUCUAGCAGGUUUGAAUCACGGAUUUCAAGGACAGGUUCAUGGAAGAAACUGUGCGACUGUUUAGUCUCUAGGUGGUUUAGCUUAUGAAGUUUUUGUUAUGUUAACAUGUUUAAUGGAUUUCAUAUUUGUUAAUGAGUUAUUUUGACAAGUGUAUCUCAGCUGUUGUACAAGGCUAUGAAGGAAUCAAGAGAGUCAAUGGAAGUUAGGCAUAUCACAAGAUUGUGUUGCUGCUAGUUUACAACUCAGGUACGGACAGUACAUUUGUUGGUAGCUCAGGAAUUGUGUUUGGCCACACAUAAAUUGAGCUUGACUAACAUAUUCUCUAAGACCUUGAUGGUUCUAAGAGGGAACUCACGAGGAUGAUUCAAAUCUUGCUUCAAGGUGGAUAAUUGGUUGAGCUUCUCUAUUGGUUUGAGUAUUCUAAAGAGAUUACAGUUUCCUAUAGUGGAUGCAACUGGACUUAGUUUAUUAAACUCACGCUUGUAAUUUUCUUUGGGGGUUGGAGUGAUAGUGAGUAUCAAUUAUCAAAGAGGAAGGAUAGUGUGUUCAUCUACUUAUUUUUAAUUAUGUUUUAAUUUUAUUUUGUAAUACAGUUUUUUUUAAAUGAUGGUUUCAUAAUAAUAAA